GAGCUGUCCUGGGCUGGGUGCCUUGCUCUUUGACUGAGACUGGAGACAGACGGGAACAGCCACAGGCAGACUGAGGUGGCAAUAGGAAAUCUGCCGAGAUGUUUAGUCAGGUGCCCAGGACCCCAGCCUCAGGCUGCUACUACCUAAAUUCCAUGACACCUGAGGGACAGGAGAUGUACUUGCGAUUUGAUCAGACUACAAGACGCUCUCCUUACAGGAUGAGCCGGAUUCUAGCACGCCAUCAGCUAGUGACUAAAAUUCAACAAGAUGGGAAAGUCUACUGACCUCCUUCCCUGAAAAUUUGGAUCCUCAUAUUAGCAUUCCAUUCCACUUGCUGUACUUUUAGGUGGAAGGUCUAAGGCAGACAAAGCUGCUUAAAUAUUAAGAAGGAGGAAAAAAUCUUGGCAAGAAGAAGGGAAAUCAGUCUUGCAGAAUAUCUUGAAGAAGCCUGUGAAGGAAUUCCACUGACUGUGUUCAUUAUCUAUUGGUCCCAAUACUGAGUGGA
rnacentral:sRNA from 1 species